ensembl:lncRNA
GGGCUGGGACUACCACAUGCAGCUCAAUUAGCAGUCUGCGGUCUGUGUGUGGCACGAAUUUGGCACUACGUUCAACCGGCCUCACAACUGCAGCCCAGGUGUAACCACGCCAGACCAGGUGUAACCACGCCAGACCAGGUGUAACCACGCCAGACCAGGUGUAACCACGCCAGACCAGGUGUAACCACGCCAGACCAGGUGUAACCACGCCAGACCAGGUGUAACCACGCCAGACCAGGUGUAACCACGCCCACCCAGGUGUAACCACGCCCGCCCAGGUG